AUGCUUGCUUCAGCAGCACAUGUACUAAAAUUGGAAUAAGAGAAUAUUAGCGGGGCCCCUGCCCAAGAAUGACAUACAAAUUCAUGAGAUGUUCCGUAUUUUU
rnacentral:snRNA from 1 species